UGGGGAAUUUUGGACAAUGGGCGAAAGCCUGAUCCAGCAAUGCCGCGUGUGUGAAGAAGGCCUUCGGGUUGUAAAGCACUUUUGUCCGGAAAGAAAUCCUUGGCUCUAAUACAGUCGGGGGAUGACGGUACCGGAAGAAUAAGCACCGGCUAACUACGUGCCAGCAGCCGCGGUAAUACGUAGGGUGCAAGCGUUAAUCGGAAUUACUGGGCGUAAAGCGUGCGCAGGCGGUUUGCUAAGACCGAUGUGAAAUCCCCGGGCUCAACCUGGGAACUGCAUUGGUGACUGGCAGGCUAGAGUAUGGCAGAGGGGGGUAGAAUUCCACGUGUAGCAGUGAAAUGCGUAGAGAUGUGGAGGAAUACCGAUGGCGAAGGCAGCCCCCUGGGCCAAUACUGACGCUCAUGCACGAAAGCGUGGGGAGCAAACAGGAUUAGAUACCCUGGUAGUCCACGCCCUAAAACGAUGUCAACUAGUUGUUGGGGGAUUCAUUUCCUUAGUAACGUAGCUAACGCGUGAAGUUGACCGCCUGGGGAGUACGGUCGCAAGAUUAAAACUCAAAGGAAUUGACGGGGU
rnacentral:rRNA from 1 species